AGCUGUAAUUGGCUUAUUAAAUCAGUUAUGAUUCCUUGGAUCAUAAUUCACUACUUGAUAACUGUGGUAAUUAGAAAGGUAAUACAGCUCAGCUCUCUGACCUUUAGGAAUGGACACUUUUUUAGAUCAAAACCCAAUCUGCCACUGGCUCAUCCUCACGUGGUGACUUUGUAUAACUUUGGCCUAAUCACACAGAUUCAUCCUGAUGACAUAUCUUUCACGUGUCUGCCUAAUCGAUUGUUGAUGGUUGCUCAUGCUCUUACAAUGUCAUAUUAGUUGAUGGAGAAUUUGGGUUUGAUUAUGGAGAGAGGGGGGGAUGUCAUCUAAGGAAAGCAGCAGGCAUGCAAAUUACCUAUUCUUGGCUUGAGGAGAUAGUGAUAAGAACUAAUAAUAUGUGACACUUUAUCGGAUUGAAUACAUUCUACCUCCUUUAAUGAGGAUACAUUGUAGGACAAGUCUGGUGCCAGCAACGG